GACGAACGCUGGCGGCGUGCUUAACACAUGCAAGUCGAACGGAAAGGCCCUGCUUGCAGGGUACUCGAGUGGCGAACGGGUGAGUAACACGUGGGUGAUCUGCCCUGCACUUCGGGAUAAGCCUGGGAAACUGGGUCUAAUACCGGAUAGGAGCCAUUUUUAGUGUGAUGGUUGGAAAGUUUUUUCGGUGUAUGAUGAGCUCGCGGCCUAUCAGCUUGUUGGUGGGGUAAUGGCCUACCAAGGCGGCGACGGGUAGCCGGCCUGAGAGGGUGGCCGGCCACAUUGGGACUGAGAGACGGCCCAGACACCUACGGGAGGCAGCAGGGGGGAAGAUUGCACGAUGGGCGCAAGCCUGAUGCAGCGACGCCGCGGGUGGGAUGACGGCCCUCGGGUUGUAAACUCCUUUCGCUAGGGACGAAGCUUUUUGUGACGGUACCUAGAUAAGAAGCCCCGGCUAACUACGUG
rnacentral:rRNA from 1 species